AAAAAUAUUUAGGCUAGCUGGAUUUUUUUAUUGGAAAGAGAGCAUAUUGAUCGCCGGACGUUUUGCACAACUUGGAAAACCUAUUCAUCCUGAAGAGAAGACUUGUGUAACCAGGGCUGAAGGGGACCGUUUGUCUCGGACUCUUCUUCAAGAAUCCACACAAAAGGUGUGUAGUUGGUGAGAAGCCAGCUGGCUGGCCUUGGAGACACUCCUUCACUACGAUGUAGAGUCCAGAAGAGAGAGAACGAGAGAGAGAUAAAGACGAAAGAGAGAGUGUGUGAAAAACAGACACUCCACCUGGAAGAGAAACUGAAAGCGGGACCCCAUCCUUCAAUCUCUCCCUUCACACUUUCCCCUCUUCCUGAAGACCCUGAGGACUUGAACCUUCACCUUUGACCCCACCUGUGUAACCACUGGGGCGGGAA
rnacentral:lncRNA from 8 species